rnacentral:rRNA from 1 species
UACGGAGGGGGCUAGCGUUGCUCGGAAUCACUGGGCGUAAAGCGCACGUAGGCGGCUUUCUAAGUCAGGGGUGAAAUCCUGGAGCUCAACUCCAGAACUGCCUUUGAUACUGGGGAUCUCGAGUCCGGAAGAGGUGAGUGGAACUCCGAGUGUAGAGGUGAAAUUCGUAGAUAUUCGGAAGAACACCAGUGGCGAAGGCGGCUCACUGGACUGGUAUUGACGCUGAGGUGCGAAAGCGUGGGGAGCAAACAGG